GGCGCCCCCCGCCCCACAGCCGACUUACCGCCGGGGUCGGGGCCAGCGCCUGGGGCUGGGGCCGGGCGGAGGGAGCGGGAGGCAGCGGGGAGGGCUGAGGUGGCCUGGGCGGUAGCGGCGCCGGACACAGCCCUGGGCAGCUGCGGGCUCCGGAGGCUCCCCUCAAGCUGCGGAGCCUGAAGCCUCGGUCGGCGGCGGCGGCCUCUGGCUGCGGACGUGGCGCCCGACGCGACCCGCCCCCUCCGCAGCCUCCUCAGCUCCCGCCUCCUCCCGCGGCUCCGGCUCCGACGCGCACGCGCGCACGCGCACCCGCGGCCCCUCCCGCGCCCACCCGUUUCUCGAACUGCCGCCCUUCCAGCAGCCCCCAGCCAGUCACUUCUCGACGUGCGCAGGCGCGGUGCCACGGUGCUGCUCCCGCCCUUCGCCCCCGGGUGCCUCCGCGGGAACCCCCGCAGGACUGCGCGCGCCUCAUCCUGGGGUCUCCCCGCCCCCUUUCCCCCACCGUCCAAUCAGGUCGGGCGAGGGGCGCGAAACCCGGAGACGCGCGGACCACGGCCUUCCGGCCCGACCUCCAUCCUGGGUGGCCCCCAGAAGUCUCCGUUGCGCCAUCGAAUAACGGUCCUCGGAAUUUAGAACCUUCGCCACAGGGAAGGCAAGACGGUCGCCGCUUUCUCCGGUUCUUCUUCGCCCGGGGGCCUCAGCCUUUUUUCUUAAGCUGCUGCCCUCGAGGAGUGACUAGCUGGGCCUACUCAGCCGUCCACGUCGGGGCUCGCCUUUGUGACCAAGCGAAGGGGUGAGGAGAGACCUGGCUUGUUUGUGUUUCGAGGUUUCUUUUUCUCUUUCCUGCCCUCGAAGUGCCUGGGAGUACCGACCUGCCCGGUUCGUCCUCGCCGCCCAGCGCUCACUUAGUGCAAGGCCAGGCCUUGCCAGACGCUGGGAGAGGGUGAGUUGGAAAUGAGAGCCCGGGGCGAAGGCUCAGCCUGCGGAGCAGCUGCAAGAGGAUACGGUCUGUGCACUCCCACGUGGCCAGCCCUGCCUGCAGCUGAGCCAUCUGUCAUGUGCGGCUGGGCUUCCAAAGGAGGCUGCGGGUAGCCUCCCCAGGUUGUUUUUAGGACCAAAGAAGAUAAGUGCUGUGUUUCUUUGGUCAACAUCUAUCCCAUGAAGAUGGCCAUAAAUCCAUCAUGCCUGUUUUGAGAUCAGAAGAGGUGGCAGGUAUGAAAGGGCUUUAUAAACUGACAUCUUACACAAAUGUGCAAGUUUUCCUUUUAUGAUUUAAUUAGCAAGUCAAAAAAUACACAUGGAAAAAAAAUAUAUAUAUAUACAAUAAAGAAUAUAAACAUGAAACAAAUGCUCACAAUAUUUUUUGAAAUACAAAAUAAUCAGGGUGGUGCAACUGAGUAAUAACUAUUAACAAGGCUCAGGGGGAAAAAAGGCACACUAACCAAGAAAUCAUCCUGGAAGAAGCUAACUUUGAUCUAGUCCUUUUUAAAAAUGGACUAAAUAUAGUAUAUGGCAUCAGCCUGCUUAUUAAUUCAUCAAAACAAUGAAUUCAAUCCAUCUAGUUGACUGUGCUGAAGUUAACAAGACACUGUAGUUUUACAGAACUCAAAGGAGAUUUUAAAUCCUGCUCUUUAAAUAUGGUUAGAGGUUAGCAGUAUCUGUGGGUUGUUGUGUUUACCCAGCAUGUGAAGUUGUGGAUACUUCCUCUAUUUUCUUGUCACAGAAGUCUCAAAUAUAUCUUUACAUGUGACCUUUCAGGUUGGGACUCUAGGCAAAAUCAUGAAAUGCAUAAUUACACUUUGUUUCUUCUUGUACUUCUUUCUAUUAUAGAAUUUAUUAAAGUAAAAAUGACAUAUAAAACUAACCACUUCUGAGAGAUUUUUCAUUUUUAACAGUUAUUUAAAGCUGUAGUUGAAUCUAUUUCAUAAACCAACCAAGAGGUAGGGGANAGAUGUGACAUUGCUUAACAAGGUGAGGUG
rnacentral:lncRNA from 1 species